rnacentral:rRNA from 1 species
GACGAACGCUGGCGGCGUGCUUAACACAUGCAAGUCGUACGACAGCAUUUCCUUUUAGGUUGUGUUUGGAGUGGCGAACGGGUGAGUAACACGUGAGUGACCUGCCCUUCACUUUGGGAUAACGUGCGGAAACGUGCGCUAAUACCAAAUAUUCGCAUUUCUGCUGCAUGGUGGGGUGUGGAAAGGGGCCUUCGGGUUCGUGGUGGGGGAGUGGGCUCGCGGCCUAUCAGCUGUGUUGGU